ACGGGGCGCAGCAGGCGCGAAACUUUCCCACUCGAGACAUUCGGAGGAGGUAAUGACCAGUUUCAUGUAAAGCUUAUGCUUUUGUGAAUAGGAUCACACUUUUCCAGUGUGGUGAAACCUAGCAGAGGGCCAGUCUGGUGCCAGCAGCCGCGGUAAU
rnacentral:rRNA from 1 species